GCGAUAACAGCUAGUUAGAUGAACCUGAACUUUCUUCGAACUGAACAGAGAAAGCCCUGCACCUCUUCAGUAUGAUGCUGUAGAGCAGAAUUGUGAGAGCAAUGCAUAUCCCUUUUGGUUUUGUUUUUGAUUUUUUUUUUUUUUUCAUUUUGCUUCUGAGUAGAAUUUCUUCAAAACAGCCCGCACAACCCCAAAAAGCAAUAUAAAGAUCCCAAUAUUUGAAGUAGGAAACGUGGGUGAGUAUGGGCACAUCUCAUGGUGCUAACCACUAAAAAACUUCAAUUCAUCCACUAUCCAAAGCUGAACGUUAAUUCUUGAAGGAUGAUAUUUCAAUAAACAAAUACACCAGUGAAGAAAGACAUCUUCAACAUGCUUUUGGCAUCUAGUCACCUGCCAGGCUCUCAGCUGAUGUUCUCAGUGCAAUCAUAACAGGGGAUUACAUCUCAAAUCUUUUCUACUCUAUAUCCGAUAGAGCGUCACACGUGAGUAGUCUGUCGCCAGAUGUAAGGGCCGCUACGCUGAUUUAUGGAGCUAUCUUCAUUCUGCUUAUAAAAAUCAUACUCAUAGCAGUAUGCAAAGCCCUGUCUAGAAAACGGCGCAAGGUUUGUUAGAUGAGUGCUUGGUGUGCCGUGUCCAUCCUUUUACAUGGGCUGAGUAUCACUGACCGGGCUUCAAAACCAGUGAAUUUAGCACCAUUUAAAGGUGGCUGAUUCAAAUGUUAUUUGUCAAAAUCCUCUGAAGCUUCUUGUUUACAUUUUGUAAAAACAAUGAGACUAUGGCAGGUGCUGGCACGUACCUGCUCCUGAAUCAAAAUGUUCAAACAGAUAAUUCACAUCUACUUAUUUCGUAGAGAGGGACAGAAGUUCACAUUCCUCUUUCCAAUUCAUGCCCAGCUACCCUCAGUCUAAUUAUGGACAUUACUUGAAGUCCUAAAAGAAAUGAUGAGAAUAAAUACCAAAGAAGAACUCUGUCAGAGUCUUAGCUGCAGCAAAUGAAAUUAAUGCUUGAAGGAGCAGACCCAGAAUAAAAUCUUUUCUUUUUUUUUAAUGACAUAAAUAUAUAUUUCCUUUCAAUGAAGCGUAGCUUCCCUGAAAACCUGUUCUCUUGGGAAGACAAUGAGUUUAUAUGAAUGAUCUGUUAUCUUGGCAUGAAUUUAAAAUCUUCAGGGAGAUUGGGAAAAAGUAAAUACUAUAAAGUAUAACAUAGUUCUGUAUCUUGCUGAAAAUACAAGGGAAUGCAGACUUUUUUUCCUUUUAUACUGUAUCAUUACUGUAAGUUGACUGUAAGAUUAUGAUCCCUCUGUUCUGAUGUCUACUCACAUGAAAACAACCAGGAUGCUCAGUUUUCAGGUUUUAGGUUUCUGAGCUCUUUCAAAUCACAAAUAUCAAACUGAAGUUUUGUAUUUUAUGUAGCCAAGUCUGUAUAUGAGAUAAAAAUGACAUAGCUUUUAUAACUUUAAUCUUACCAUGAGGGGGAAGCAGCCAUCCUCAAUGUAUGCUGCACAGCAUAAAGGUGCUUUCAUCUUAAUAGUAAAACUCAUAUAAGCUGUUUAUCUGUUGAAACUGCUAAAAAAAAAAAUUCUACUUGAAUUUGUUAAUUGACCACGUUAGUAAUAUUUGAGAAAAGGAUAACUAGCAGAAAUUCCUAAACUUUUUGUAGUUUUGUUUUCCACUGGAACCAGUGUUUUGAUUCAUUGUUACCAUAGCAAUGUCUUCAGCGUCUCCUAUAGGGACCAACUGCUGAGGCUGCACUGAUGGGGUGCUUACUCAUAUUUCCUUGAAAAGAUUUAGCUCCAUACUCUUUGGACAGCAGUCCUAUAAGCAGGGAGUGAUCUCCUGAUAUUCCAUAUAGCUGUUCUUGUGAAACUUUUCCCAAAUGAAAAACAAACUAAAAUCACAGCAGCACAACCUACAGGUUGGUUGGGUUUGGGGUUUUGUUUUGUUUUGUUUUCUACAAAGGAACCAUUAUAUUUUAUAGAUACAACGAAGAGCUUUUUAUUGAUGACUGAAGAAUGUAAAUUAAGUAUAGGAUAUAUGUAAGUGGCAUGGAAUUUCUCCAUUUGUAGCGUAGCUUUUAGUUGGAAAUUUGAAAACUAACAUAUUCUCUAGCACCACCAGGAGCAGACCCACAUGCAGUUUAUAUUUCUUUUUUUCUUAACACUACCCAUGGUCUGUAACACACCACUGUGGUGACGGGGUAUCUUGUCCUUUUUCCUCGCUCCUGCAUUGCAAAUCCCACUUCUGUGCUGUCUCGUAGCCUCAGACAUCACUGGACUGGCAGUAGUUCAGCAUUUAUAUUCACGUUCAAUUUUACUUUACCCUCAGAAUCAAGAAUAUAGCUUGAACCUAACUUUUGGGACAGCAGGGAAGUCUGAUGAGUAAAUUUAAGAUCCCAACUUUCAAAAUCACAUAUGCAUCCAUUUGUCUGCUGUGAGUAGUCCUAGAAAGACAGUGUUCCUGGAAGAAGGAUUUGUGGAGGCUGCUCUGUGGGGUGCUUCCCUGCCCUUCCACACAGUUAUCUGUUCUCAGCAGUUCCAGUCACAGAGCCUGCAAUUCUCUUCAGGUUUUCUUGUCCAAACAUUAAAUCCCACUGCUUGUAUGCAUAUGGCGCAAGGUACUACUGCUUGUCUAACCUGGAUAUUCAGGUGGGCAAAAGCAAACAUAAAGAACAGACACCGUUUGGGCAAAGCCAGCGUUUUCUUUUUUCCACUGGCUCCUUGGUAAGUUAAUUUUGAAGUACAGAGGAUUUUGUUUCAAGCCCACUGGUGUUUUCCCAUGAAUUACCAUCUUGACCACUUGUGUGGUGUUACCUAUGAAGUGCCGUGAUGCUGUAAUUUGUGGACAGCACUUGUUCUGGGAUGAGGAGCAGUCCCAGUCAGAGCAAAGCCUCUGACUCCUGCAGAGAACCAAAGACCAGAAGCCAUCUGAAGUGACGCUUCAAGUACGGCUUUGAGCUGCUGAUUCAUACUGAAGUGUUUCUGAAGGUUAAGACCCCCUAUCAUGCAUUCUGCUAAAUAAUGUAAGUAAUUCCAGCGUUUAUAAAACGAUCAGAAGAGUUAUGUAUAACACAAAUUGUUUUAAGUACAUCUUGUCUUGAAGGAAUACGGAUCACGAUUUCUUAGUUGUGAAAAUAUUUGGAAAUGAAGAAUACAGAUUAUAGGACAAGAAUACAAAAAAAAAAGUAUUAAGAAUAAUUAAUAUCCUACUGUUUCUAAAUAGGUAGAGGACCUCUCACUGUUGUGGCACAGCUUUUCCCACAGGAAGAGGAACAGAUUUUGAGUUGCGCCAGGGUACAACAUCUGAGGAGCUCACCUCACUUUCAUUUCUUUCUGAGAUCUCUCUCCUGUGGCUUCAGAGGAGAACUCAUCACUGUGCAAACACUGUGCUCCGAGGAGGUACCAGAGCUUCUGAGCAGCUUUCCUUCUUUGCAGGGAGGAUCUGGUUGCAGCACUUUGUCUGCUUUCAUCAGGUAGUUCACUGAAGUGCUGGCUGUGCCCUGCAUGGCUCGCUUGCUGUCUGCAGCUACCGUCCUGAGAACUAACUGUACUGAAAGCACUUAGAGAUGGAAUGAACGUAAUGGAGACGUGGUUUGCUGUUCACUGUGAAUAUCCAGCUUGGAUAGUUGGAAUAACUGCAAGGGAAGAAUUGCCUUUGCAAAUCAUGUGCCUGAUACACUGUCUGAAUAGUAUUUCAGCCCUCACUGUUUAGUGAACGAGGACAUUAAGAUGCCCACAAAUGGAAGUGGAAUGAUUGAUUCCCAGGAAUAGUUUAACAGUCACAAAUGCAGUUUUUCAGGCUUCUUGCUGAACACUAGCCAAGUAAUAAGGCUUCAUUUAAACAGAUGAACUUUUAUUGUAGACUUAUACCUGAUUUCCUGCUUUCCUUUACUGACCACCAGAUGUUUUUCCAUAUCACAUGAAUUUUUGUUUACCUUAAAGCUGAUCUGUAGAUAUGCAUGAAACAGCAGCUAGCGUGGACAUGAAGUCUGAGCAUUCCUCAUACUUAGGGUGAGUCUUGUGAAACCUUUUCAGCAGCCAAAAGUCUUGAGCCUUUCACUGACAUAAGACAACUAAAAUAUCAGCAAAAUUGGUUCUGCUGUCAAUAAAAUCACCAAUUAACACUUGACUUGGGUUUGGGGCUUCUGAAUAGUAUAUACAUAUGUAACACUACAUACACAAACUUUUGUAGAACACAAAAAUGAAUGAUCCAGCUUAAGGUUAGUUCCUCUAAAUAGAUGGAGAGAGUAUCCACUUAACCACAUAGCCUAAACACAAUGAAGAUGGGGAAAAAGCUGUCUAUUUUCAACUGUGUUUAUUUUUUCACCGAUAAAAAUAAAAAGAGAAGAAAAAUAAUCAUAGUGCCUAUGACAAAGAUUGUGUUUCAAGGAGUGUGCAAUGUAUACCACUAUUAUUUUGACUGCAAAUGAAAACCGCUUUUGAACUGACUGUGGUUCAAGAGAAAUUAACAUAGAAAAACUGUCACACAGCAUUCCAGGAAAUGUUUUGGUUCAGUAUGUUUGGCCUCCGUUUUUGUGGAGCUGUACAUUCCUGUCCAUGGUUUUAAAGGAUAAAAAAAAAGAACUGAUU
ensembl:lncRNA